rnacentral:lncRNA from 1 species
CUAGUUUGCGGUGUCUGAAAAUUUCUGCUCCAAUUUAAUUUUUUAAGGAGAAAUAAUUAACGUCACUCGAUGAAGUUUUCACAGAAUUUAAUUGCCCUGCGCAGAAGCGAAAAAUCACAGAAAUUUUAGAAGUGUCGCUGAAUAAUUUUUCAUUUAAAAAAUAAAGUAUGCCAGAAAGUCUUCUAUGUCGCAAACUGCGAUAUGUCGUUUGAGAGUUUCACCCUCGAUAUGUUAUACUCGCUGCAAGUAUCUAAUAUGUAACUAAUCCUUGACUGCGCAUUGACCUAUAUUUUGAUUUACUUAUUUUAUUCUUCCAGGAGGGCGGAACAAGCUCGGAGUCCUCAUCCUCAAGUUCGUCAUCCUCAUCAUCAUCCACCUCAUCCUCGAGCAACGAAAACUCUGGCUCCGACUCAAGUAGCUCUGAUUCAGAGUCCUCGUCCUCCGAUCGGAAAUCCACCGAUUCCGAAACCCGUCGCUCCCGGAAAUCAGCCUCACCCAUCAAGAAGAAAACACCACCACGCUCCAACAAGCCAGAACCAAAACCAGUCAACAAUGUCAAAUCAAAGAAUUUCCCGGCCACAAAAAUGUCAGGCAUCUACUCCUCAGAAUCGGACGAUGAUCGGUCCAAGCGGCGCCUCUCCACAUCCAAAGGUCCGAAAGCCUCCGCAACCGUCACGCCAAAUGUCUCGAAACCAGCAGCCAAGCCAAAGGCCUCGGCUGCAUCGGCAGUUAACAGUAAGAAAAUCGAGUCGAAAAGGCUGUCUAGUUCCAGUUUGAAGCAUGCUGCAACCUCAAAGUCUGAGCCCAAAACGAAGACUAAGAGUAUUUUCAGUCCGGAUAACAGCUCGGAGAGUGAUAAUCAGAGUCCUCCGCCCCCGAAGUUGACACCAAUGAAGAAUGUUCCCGCUGCCUCGGCUUCCAAGAAUCUCAUCAAAUCAAAAUGUCCAAGGCAACGCCAGUGAAAAAAGAGUCUGGUUCUGCAUCAGAAAAGUCACGCACCAGUUCUGUGUCCUCUCGCAGUUCAGUUUCCUCAGAAAGCAGCUCCGACUCCGAGGAGAGCACCCCGGCUCCGUCGGUCACCCCGCAGAAAGUCUCACCUCCCCACCGAAAUCCUCGACGAGCAUCACGCCUUCCUCGGACACGAGUCCCAAGAAAAAGGGGCGCGGGCGGCCCCGAAAAAACCCCCUGCCGUCGGGUAGCGAGGUCAAACCCGGGGCCGUUAAAAAGGCGGAGCCGAAAACGACUCCCCCCGCGGCGGCGGCUGCGACUGCGGCGGCGGCGGCGGGUCCAAAGAAAACGACGAGGUCUGGAACCACCCGCACAAGUAAGCACUUGUCAGGAACCAUAAGCAUAAAAGUGCAGAGUGACUCUGAGUCCGAUUCAGGUAUGAUUCGUUGCCAGCAACCAACGCCUCCCGAUGUUAAAUACUAUCUUCAGCGUUUUGCGAUGGUAUUAGCAACCAAGGGUAUCUCUCUUCUAUUUUUCACUCUUUCGUCCGGUCACUUCUUCGGUCGACUCCAGGGGACCAUGUUUUGCUUGAGUGUGAAAGUAUUUAGUUACUCAGGGUGUAGACAACUAGAAAACCGUAUUGUAGUCAAAUUUUAA